rnacentral:rRNA from 1 species
GCCUAUGGCCAUACCACCCUGAAAGCGCCCGAUCUCGUCUGAUCUCGGAAGCUAAGCACGGACGGGCUUGGUUAGUACCUGGAUGGGAGACCGCCUGGGAAUACCAGGUGUUGUAGGCU